rnacentral:rRNA from 1 species
UACGGGGGGUGCGAGCGUUGUCCGGAAUCACUGGGCGUAAAGGGCGCGUAGGUGGUUUGAUAAGGGUGUGGUGAAAGUCCGGGGCUCAACCCCGGAUCUGCCGUGCCGACUGUCAAACUCGAGGACUGUAGAGGCAGACGGAAUUCCGGGUGUAGCGGUGGAAUGCGUAGAGAUCCGGAGGAAGACCGGUGGCGAAGGCGGUCUGCUGGGCAGUUCUGACACUGAGGCGCGACAGCGUGGGGAGCAAACAGGG